rnacentral:lncRNA from 1 species
UGGCUUGCUGCUUAGCAAUUCCUAACCACCAUCUUCCCUUCUCAACCUCUUUUUUCAUGCUAAGAGGCAUAAAUGAGAUGAUGAUGAUAAAAGUUUGAGCUCUUUUCAUGGAAUUCUUGUGAUACAGAUAUGUGCUGCAUGUUCAUUAUCUUGUUGGUCUUCACCAUGAUAACUGGGGGGUAAGAAUUAUCAGCAGUUCACAGGUUAGGGACUUGAGACUGAGAGUUUGACUUUCCUGUUCCAGGUGGCAAAGCCUAUGGGGUAUUCACCUACCUGCUGCAUGAAGGCAACAUGGAGGGACUGUGGUGGAUUAUCUGCAAAGAUGGCCAAAAUUCUCUCAUCUCUACAGGUAUAUACAAGAAAAGUUGCUAAAACUGCUGUGAGAUUCUGGCUAAGAAAGUUUCAUGAGUUUUACAGAAAAAUGUGAAUGGAAGACAGA